rnacentral:piRNA from 2 species
UCCAAGCCACUUUCAGGUACAGACAACUGUG